rnacentral:rRNA from 1 species
AUGCAUCAGAGCUCCGACCUNUGGGGACGAGCG